rnacentral:rRNA from 1 species
GACGAACGCGGGCGGCGUGCUUAACACAUGCAAGUCGAACGGAGCGAAUGAAAGCUUGCUUUUAUGAGCUUAGUGGCAAACGGGUGAGUAACACGUAGACAACCUGCCGAUCAGAUGGGGACAACAUUCCGAAAGGAAUGCUAAUACCGAAUGGCGUGGAGGGAAGGCAUCUUCCUUUCAUGAAAGAUGGCCUCUAUUUAUAAGCUAUCACUGAUCGGUGGGUCUGCGUCUGAUUAGCUGGUAGGUAAGGUAACGGCUUACCUAGGCGACGAUCAGUAGCCGGUCUGAGAGGAUGAACGGCCACAUUGGGACUGAGACACGGCCCAGACUCCUACGGGAGGCAGCAGUGGGGAAUCUUCCGCAAUGGGCGCAAGCCUGACGGAGCAACGCCGCGUGAGUGAAGAAGGUCUUCGGAUCGUAAAGCUCUGUUGAAGGGGACGAACGAUCGAGGGGCGAACAGGCUCUCGGUAUGACGGUACCUUU